rnacentral:rRNA from 1 species
UACGAAGGGGGCGAGCGUUGCUCGGAAUCACUGGGCGUAAAGCGCACGUAGGCGGAUUGUUAAGUCAGGGGUGAAAUCCUGGAGCUCAACUCCAGAACUGCCUUUGAUACUGGCGAUCUUGAGUCCGGGAGAGGUGAGUGGAACUGCGAGUGUAGAGGUGAAAUUCGUAGAUAUUCGCAAGAACACCAGUGGCGAAGGCGGCUCACUGGCCCGGUACUGACGCUGAGGUGCGAAAGCGUGGGGAGCAAACAGG